UGCAAGCGUUAAUCGGAAUUACUGGGCGUAAAGCGCACGCAGGCGGUCUGUCAAGUCGGAUGUGAAAUCCCCGGGCUCAACCUGGGAACUGCAUUCGAAACUGGCAGGCUUGAGUCUUGUAGAGGGGGGUAGAAUUCCAGGUGUAGCGGUGAAAUGCGUAGAGAUCUGGAGGAAUACCGGUGGCGAAGGCGGCCCCCUGGACAAAGACUGACGCUCAGGUGCGAAAGCGUGGGGAGCAAACAGGAUUAGAUACCCUGGUAGUCCACGCCGUAAACGAUGUCUACUUGGAGGUUGUGCCCUUGAGGCGUGGCUUCCGGAGCUAACGCGUUAAGUAGACCGCCUGGGGAGUACGGCCGCAAGGUUAAAACUCAAAUGAAUUGACGGGGGCCCGCACAAGCGGUGGAGCAUGUGGUUUAAUUCGAUGCAACGCGAAGAACCUUACCUGGUCUUGACAUCCACAGAAGAAUCCAGAGAUGGAUUUGUGCCUUCGGGAACUGUGAGACAGGUGCUGCAUGGCUGUCGUCAGCUCGUGUUGUGAAAUGUUGGGUUAAGUCCCGCAACGAGCGCAACCCUUAUCCUUUGUUGCCAGCGGUUAGGCCGGGAACUCAAAGGAGACUGCCAGUGAUAAACUGGAGGAAGGUGGGGAUGACGUCAAGUCAUCAUGGCCCUUACGACCAGGGCUACACACGUGCUACAAUGGCGCAUACAAAGAGAAGCGACCUCGCGAGAGCAAGCGGACCUCAUAAAGUGCGUCGUAGUCCGGAUUGGAGUCUGCAACUCGACUCCAUGAAGUCGGAAUCGCUAGUAAUCGUGGAUCAGAAUGCCACGGUGAAUACGUUCCCGGGCCUUGUACACACCGCCCGUCACACCAUGGGAGUGGGUUGCAAAAGAAGUAGGUAGCUUAACCUUCGGGAGGGCGCUUACCACUUUGUGAUUCAUGACUGGGGUGAAGUCGUAACAAGGUAACCGUAGGGGAACCUGCGGUUGGAUCACCUCCUUACCUUAAAGAA
rnacentral:rRNA from 1 species